UAUUUAUUAGAUAAAAAACCAAUGCCCUCCGGGGCUCCUUGGUGAAUCAUAAUAACUUAACGAAUCGCAUGGCCUUGUGCCGGCGAUGGUUCAUUCAAAUUUCUGCCCUAUCAACUUUCGAUGGUAGGAUAGUGGCCUACCAUGGUUUCAACGGGUAACGGGGAAUUAGGGUUCGACUCCGGAGAGGGAGCCUGAGAAACGGCUACCACAUCCAAGGAAGGCAGCAGGSGCGCAAAUUACCCAAUCCCGACACGGGGAGGKAGUGACAAUAAAUACUGAUACAGGGCUCUUUCGGGUCUUGUAAUUGGAAUGAGUACAAUUUAAAUCCCUUAACGAGGAACAAUUGGAGGGCAAGUCUGGUGCCAGCAGCCGCGGUAAUUCCAGCUCCAAUAGCGUAUAUUAAAGUUGUUGCASUUAAAAAGCUCGUAGUUGAACCUUGGGCCUGGCUGGCCGGUCCGCCUCACCGCGUGUACUGGUCCGGCCGGGCCUUUCCUUCUGGGGAGCCGCAUGGCCUUCACUGGMCGUGUCGGGGAACCAGGACUUUUACUUUGAAAAAAUUAGAGUGUUCAAAGCAGG
rnacentral:rRNA from 1 species